CCCUAUUCUAAAUGCCUAACCCUGCUUAUUUUCUUCAGUUUUUGGUUUUUCCAAGCAUAUUAUUUUCUUAGCUGAAAAUUACAUUUUUGAGUAGAAUUGGAAUUGGCAAGAUUUUGGUGGAAUUAAGGAGUGGCAGAGGGUGAAGAAGACUGAAUCAAAAUUCAAAUAAAUGAUGUCAUUGGAAGGAGUGGCCAUAAUCAUACGAAGCCAUAUUUUGCUCGGUUUCCCCAUGCUCCACCAGGUUCAUUAUUUGCCGACUGUAGAGUAUAAUUUUCAUCUUCAAAUUUGUUUGUGAGUGUCUGUAAUUCGCCUCUGUGCUGCUUUGAUUGUAUCAACUUUACUCAAGUCACUGUUGUUUAUUCUUAUCUCACCUGGUG
rnacentral:lncRNA from 1 species